GAUGAACGCUGGCGGCGUGCUUAACACAUGCAAGUCGAACGAUGAAGCCCAGCUUGCUGGGUGGAUUAGUGGCGAACGGGUGAGUAGCACGUGAGUAACCUGCCCUUAACUCUGGGAUAAGCCUGGGAAACUGGGUCUAAUACCGGAUAGGAGCGUCCACCGCAUGGUGGGUGUUGGAAAGAUUUAUCGGUUUUGGAUGGACUCGCGGCCUAUCAGCUUGUUGGUGAGGUAAUGGCUCACCAAGGCGACGACGGGUAGCCGGCCUGAGAGGGUGACCGGCCACACUGGGACUGAGACACGGCCCAGGCUCCUACGGGAGGCAGCAGUGGGGAAUAUUGCACAAUGGGCGCAAGCCUGAUGCAGCGACGCCGCGUGAGGGAUGACGGCCUUCGGGUUGUAAACCUCUUUCAGUAGGGAAGAAGCGAAAGUGACGGUACCUGCAGAAGAAGCACCGGCUAACUACGUG
rnacentral:rRNA from 1 species